UACGUAGGCAGCAAGCGUUGUUCGGAAUUACUGGGCGUAAAGCGUGCGCAGGCGGUUUUGUAAGCCAGAUGUGAAAUCCCCGGGCUUAACCUGGGAAUGGCAUUUGGGACUGCAAGGCUAGAGUGUGGCAGAGGAGACUGGAAUUCCUGGUGUAGCAGUGAAAUGCGUAGAUAUCAGGAGGAAUACCGAUGGCGAAGGCAGGUCUCUGGGCUGACACUGACGCUCAUGCACGAAAGCGUGGGGAGCAAACAGG
rnacentral:rRNA from 1 species